rnacentral:rRNA from 1 species
AUUGAACGCUGGCGGCAGGCCUAACACAUGCAAGUCGAGCGGAAGAAGGGUGCUUGCUCCUGGAUUCCGCGGCGGAAGGGUGAGUAAUGCCUAGGAGUCUGCCUGGUAGUGGGGGAUAAUGUCUGGAAACGGGCGCUAAUACCGCAUACGUCCUGCGGGUGAAAGAGGGGGAUGUUUGGACCUCACGCUAUGUGAUGAGCCUAGGUCGGAUUAGCUAGCUGGUGGGGUAAAGGCCUACUAAGGCGACGAUCCGUAACUGGUCUGAGAGGAUGAUCAGUCGCACGAGAACUGGAACGCGGUCCAUACGCCUAAGGGAGGCAGCAGUGGGGAAUAGUGGGCAGUGGGCGAAAGCCUGAUCCAGCCAUGCCGCGUGUGUGGAGAAGGUCUUCGGAUUGUAAAGCACGUUAAGUUGGGAGGAAGGGCAGUAGGUUAAUACCUUGCUGGUUUGACGGUACCAACAGAAUAAGCACCGGCUAACUACGUG